rnacentral:rRNA from 1 species
AUUGAACGCUGGCGGCAUGCUUUACACAUGCAAGUCGAACGGUAACAGGCCGCAAGGUGCUGACGAGUGGCGAACGGGUGAGUAAUGCAUCGGAACGUGCCCAGUCGUGGGGGAUAACUACUCGAAAGAGUAGCUAAUACCGCAUACGAUCUAUGGAUGAAAGCGGGGGACCGUAAGGCCUCGCGCGAUUGGAGCGGCCGAUGUCAGAUUAGGUAGUUGGUGGGGUAAAGGCUCACCAAGCCAACGAUCUGUAGCUGGUCUGAGAGGACGACCAGCCACACUGGGACUGAGACACGGCCCAGACUCCUACGGGAGGCAGCAGUGGGGAAUUUUGGACAAUGGGCGCAAGCCUGAUCCAGCAAUGCCGCGUGCAGGAAGAAGGCCUUCGGGUUGUAAACUGCUUUUGUACGGAACGAAACGGCUCUGGCUAAUACCCGGGGCUAAUGACGGUACCGUAAGAAUAAGCACCGGCUAACUACGUG